UGAGUGGCGGACGGGUGAGUAACGCGUGGGCAACCUGGCCUGUACAGGGGGAUAACACUUAGAAAUAGGUGCUAAUACCGCAUAACGGAAGAAGCCGCAUGGCUUUUCCUGAAAACUCCGGUGGUACAGGAUGGGCCCGCGUCUGAUUAGCCAGUUGGCAGGGUAACGGCCUACCAAAGCGACGAUCAGUAGCCGGCCUGAGAGGGCGGACGGCCACACUGGGACUGAGACACGGCCCAGACUCCUACGGGAGGCAGCAG
rnacentral:rRNA from 1 species